GUUGCUAGUUAUGAAUAAUAAUGUAAAUAUCUAAUAUACAGAAUAUAUGAUAUGCAACCCCUGUGAAAGGGUCAUUUAAUUUCCAAAGGCAUUGCAACUCACAUGUUGAGAACCACUGAGCUAAAUUUUGGAAAAUAGAAUUGUUACCAAAAGUUCAUGAUUUGACCUUGCUUUGCAGCGUCCCAAAGGCAGUAAUGCAUUUUUUGGUUAAUCAUGUGAAAGAUACUCUUCAGAGUGAAUUAGUAGGGCAGCUGUAUAAGUCAUCCUUAUUAGAUGACCUUCUGACUGAAUCCGAGGACAUGGCACAGCGAAGAAAAGAAGCGGCUGACAUGCUGAAGGCAUUACAAGGAGCCAGUCAAAUUAUUGCUGAAAUCCGAGAGACUCAUCUUUGGUGAACAGAACUGUUUGGUCUUCUACACUUUGCUGACUUGAACCUACUAGCUACUGCCUACCUGAGUAGAAAUUUAUUUAUGGACUUUUGUGUAUCGCAGUGUAUGAAUUUGCUUGUGUGAAGACUGGCUAUAAGCUGAAAAGUAUAUUAUUCAUUACAAGACAAAUCACAUGUUUAAUUCACAUUUUUCAAGUUUCCUAUGAUGUAUAUCAAGUCUGUCCGUUUCAGUCAAACUUACAAGAACAAUUGAUGUUC
rnacentral:lncRNA from 1 species